rnacentral:rRNA from 1 species
UNUGACUUGAGUGCAGAAGGGGAGAGUGGAAUUCCAUGUGUAGCGGUGAAAUGCGUAGAUAUAUGGAGGANCACCAGUGGCGAAAGCGGCUCUCUGGUCUGUCACUGACGCUGAGGCUCGAAAGCGUGGGUAGCGAACAGGAUUAGAUACCCUGGUAGUNCACGCCGUAAACGAUGAGUGCUAGGUGUUAGGCCCUUUCCGGGGCUUAGUGCCGGAGCUAACGCAAUAAGCACUCCGCCUGGGGAGUACGACCGCAAGGUUGAAACUCAAAGGAAUUGACGGGGGCCCGCACAAGCGGUGGAGCAUGUGGUUUAAUUCGAAGCAACGCGAAGAACCUUACCAGGUCUUGACAUCCCGAUGCUAUUCUUAGAGAUAGGAAGUUACUUCGGUACAUCGGAGACAGGUGGUGCAUGGUUGUCGUCAGCUCGUGUCGUGAGAUGUUGGGUUAAGUCCCGCAACGAGCGCAACCCUUAUUGUUAGUUGCCAUCAUUAAGUUGGGCACUCUAGCGAGACUGCCGGUAAUAAAUCGGAGGAAGGUGGGGAUGACGUCAAAUCAUCAUGCCCCUUAUGACCUGGGCUACACACGUGCUACAAUGGUCGGUACAACGAGUUGCGAGCCGGUGACGGCAAGCUAAUCUCUGAAAGCCGAUCUCAGUUCGGAUUGGAGGCUGCAACU